AAAUAUUAAAAAAAAAAAAAUUGUUCGAAUUUUUUUAAAGUUCUGUGAUGUACAUAAAUUGUUUUAUUACUUAAUAGCUUUUAUUGUUUAUGCAUAAGCUAACUAUUUCUUUUGUCGUUUCAUAUUCCUGAGUAUCCUGCAUGGUGAUUGGUCCGGGACUACAGCCCCGAAAAUUAAUCAGCUUAGAGAAAACAAGAAGCAUUUAAAGAGAAAAAUAGAUACAUAGUAUCAAAUGAAACCUAAAAUUUUAGAUGACUCUGUGAAAAUUGACAGAAAUAGAAAAACUGUGUAAAAUAAUGUAUAUAGAACGAUUAGUUUCAAAUCAGUGGAUUUAUUCGAGUCGGAACAAACAGCCAGCACACCAAGAUGACAACAACCAAGAAACUUUGAACUAUUAUUGAUAUAUAUGUGUUAUCUCAUAUAAACCACAUAUUGUUCUACUAAGUAAUCAUUAUUAAUUUUUAGGGACAAAAAUUUUGAAACAAAGGGG
rnacentral:lncRNA from 1 species